CCGAGUUGUAAUUUGAAGAUGGUGUUCUGGUGCCGGCGCCCUGUCUACGUUCCUUGGAACAGGACAUCGCAGAGGGUGAGAAUCCCGUGUGGCGGGGCGGCCUGGCUCCGUGUAGAGCGCCAUCGACGAGUCGAGUUGUUUGGGAAUGCAGCUCUAAGUGGGUGGUAAAUUCCAUCUAAAGCUAAAUAUUGGCGAGAGACCGAUAGCGAACAAGUACAGUGAUGGAAAGAUGAAAAGAACUUUGAAAAGAGAGUGAAAAAGUACGUGAAAUUGUUGAAAGGGAAGGGUAUUGGAUCAGACUUGGUGCUGUGCGAAUAGCGGCUCUUCCUGGGCCGCCCCACUCGCACUCCACCGGGCCAGCAUCGGAUUGGAAAGCAAGACAAUGGCGGGGGAACGUGGCACUGCUCUCGGGCAGUGUGUUUAUAGCCCUCGCUGAUGUUGCCUGCCUAGACCGAGGACUGCGGCUUCUGCCUAGGAUGCUGGCGUAAUGAUCCAACACCGCCCGUCUUGAAACAUGGACCAAGGAGUCUAACGUCUAUGCGAGUGUUUGGGUGUAAAACCCGUACGCGUAAUGAAAGUGAACGUAGGUGAGGGCCCCUUCUGGGGUGCAUCAUCGACCGAUCCUGAUGUCUUCGGAUGGAUUUGAGUAAGAGCAUAG
rnacentral:rRNA from 1 species